CCUACGGGAGGCUGCAGUGGGGAAUAUUGGACAAUGGGGGCAACCCUGAUCCAGCCAUGCCGCGUGUGUGAAGAAGGCCCUCGGGUUGUAAAGCACUUUCAGUGAGGAAGAACGCCUGGUGGUUAAUACCCAUCAGGGAAGACAUCACUCACAGAAGAAGCACCGGCUAACUCCGUGCCAGCAGCCGCGGUAAUACGGAGGGUGCGAGCGUUAAUCGGAAUUACUGGGCGUAAAGCGCGCGUAGGUGGCUUGAUAAGCCGGUUGUGAAAGCCCCGGGCUCAACCUGGGAACGGCAUCCGGAACUGGCAAGCUAGAGUGCAGGAGAGGAAGGUAGAAUUCCCGGUGUAGCGGUGAAAUGCGUAGAGAUCGGGAGGAAUACCAGUGGCGAAGGCGGCCUUCUGGACUGACACUGACACUGAGGUGCGAAAGCGUGGGUAGCAAACAGGAUUAGAUACCCUGGUAGUC
rnacentral:rRNA from 1 species